UGUGAACAUGUAAUGUAAAACUAUAACUUGAAGCAAAUAGCAUAUAUAGAUUAAACUACAAAAGGCUUUGUCAGGAAACAUUCCUUCUGUUUUAAGUAAACUACAGUGCCUACCAACAUACAGCAGCCAUAAUGCUUAAAAAACUUGACUCUGCAUAAUGUCAAUAGAGUUGCAAAUCAAAAACUGCCUAACAUAACAGAUUAUAUAAAUAGCUUGAUCCACAAGGAGCUUCUUUCUAGGACAAGAUGUAGUCCCCACUUGUGAUGCCGCGCUUUCAUCACCUUAGUUUGUGGACUCCUUAACAGUUUCUAGAGCUGAAGUUUCGACCUUUGAAUCACUGGAAUCAUUAGCUGCAACAGGAAUCUGAGAAUCUCUAUCGUCUUCCAUUGGAUGAUGCAGCGGGUCAUUUUGGCUUUUCCUUUCUUCAGAAACAUGCAAGUCAUUAACCUUUUCUCCAUUAGUUGCAUCAGAAACAUGCACCUGAAUAUCAGCCUCCGCUUUCGAAUCAGGAGGAUGCGAAUCGUUCCCAUAUCCAAUUGGCUGCGACUCGUUAG
rnacentral:lncRNA from 1 species